rnacentral:rRNA from 1 species
GAUGAACGCUGGCGGCGUGCUUAACACAUGCAAGUCGAACGGGAAUGUUUCGCUGAUGCGAUUUCGGUCAAAUCUUGAAGCAUUUUAGUGGCGGACGGGUGAGUAACGCGUGGGUAACCUGCCCUGUACAGGGGGACAACAGUUGGAAACGACUGCUAAUACCGCAUAAGCGCACAGCUUCGCAUGAAGCAGUGUGAAAAACUCCGGUGGUACAGGAUGGACCCGCGUCUGAUUAGAUAGUUGGUGAGGUAACGGCCCACCAAGUCAACGAUCAGUGGCCGGCCUGAGAGGGCGAACGGCAACAUUGGGACUGAGACACGGCCCAAACUCCUACGGGAGGCAGCAGUGGGGAAUAUUGCACAAUGGGAGAAACCCUGAUGCAGCGACGCCGCGUGAGUGAAGAAGUAUUUCGGUAUGUAAAGCUCUAUCAGCAGGGAAGAAAACAAUGACGGUACCUGACUAAGAGGCCCCGGCUAACUACGUGCCAGCCGCCGCGGUAA